rnacentral:rRNA from 1 species
AUUCCAGCUCCAGUAGCGUAUAUUAAAGUUGUUGCAGUUAAAAAGCUCGUAGUUGAACUUUGGGUCUGGUUGGCCGGUCCGAUUUUAUGUCGCGCACUGGUUUUCAACCGGAUCUUUCCUUCUGGCUAACCUGUACUCCUUGUGGGUGCAGGCGAACCAGGACUUUUACUUUGAAAAAAUUAGAGUGUUCAAAGCAGGCGAAAGCUCGAAUAUAUUAGCAUGGAAUAAUGGAAUAGGACGUUUGGUUCUAUUUUGUUGGUUUCUAGGACCAUCGUAAUGAUUAAUAGGGACGGUCGGGGGCAUCAGUAUUCAAUUGUCAGAGGUGAAAUUCUUGGAUUUAUUGAAGACUAACUACUGCGAAAGCAUUUGCCAAGGACGUUUUCAUUG